rnacentral:misc_RNA from 1 species
UACGUAGGGAGCGAGCGUUAUCCGGAAUUACUGGGUGUAAAGGGAGUGUAGGCGGGAUUGUAAGUCAGAUGUGAAAACUAUGGGCUCAACUCAUAGACUGCAUUUGAAACUGCGAUUCUUGAGUGAAGUAGAGGUAAGCGGAAUUCCUAGUGUAGCGGUGAAAUGCGUAGAUAUUAGGAGGAACAUCAGUGGCGAAGGCGGCUUACUGGGCUUUAACUGACGCUGAGGCUCGAAAGCGUGGGGAGCAAACAGG